AUUGAACGCUGGCGGCAGGCUUAACACAUGCAAGUCGAGCGGGGUGAUGGUGCUUGCACUAUCACUUAGCGGCGGACGGGUGAGUAAUGCUUAGGAAUCUGCCUAUUAGUGGGGGACAACAUCUCGAAAGGGAUGCUAAUACCGCAUACGUCCUACGGGAGAAAGCAGGGGAUCACUUGUGACCUUGCGCUAAUAGAUGAGCCUAAGUCGGAUUAGCUAGUUGGUGGGGUAAAGGCCUACCAAGGCGACGAUCUGUAGCGGGUCUGAGAGGAUGAUCCGCCACACUGGGACUGAGACACGGCCCAGACUCCUACGGGAGGCAGCAGUGGGGAAUAUUGGACAAUGGGGGGAACCCUGAUCCAGCCAUGACGCGUGUGUGAAGAAGGCCUUAUGGUCGUAAAGCACUUUAAGCGAGGAGGAGGCUCUUUUGGUUAAUACCCAAGAUGAGUGGACGUUACUCGCAGAAUAAGCACCGGCUAACUCUGUGCCAGCCGCCGCGGUAA
rnacentral:rRNA from 1 species